rnacentral:rRNA from 1 species
GACAUCCGUGCGCAUGUUGAUGGCCUCUACAGAGACCUAUUCUCUGCCUCCUCUCGGGGAGGUGUUGCCCUUGCACAAGACAUUUGUCCUGCCCACUGCUGUGUCUCGCCUGCGGAUAACGCGGCCCUCAUGACCCCGUUCUUGGAGGAGGAAGUUUGGGCGGCUAUUAAGGGCAUGAACCCCUCCUCGGCUCCAGGCCCGGAUGUCCUCCCGAUGAAGUUCUUCCAGACCUUCUGGGAGGUGAUCUAACCUGAGGUGAUGGCCCUAUUCGACGAGUUCAUGGCUGGGACCAUUGACCUCGCCCGACUGAAUUAUGGGGUAAUCACUCUCAUCCCUAAGGUGACGGGAGCCUCGGACAUCCGGAAAUUUUGGCCGAUUACGGUG